UAGAAAAUCUAUAUUCUGUACCUAACAGGACAUUUCAUGCUUUGUAAAUAUGGGGAAACACUGACAGAUUGAGACUUGUGAGAUCCAACUAGUCCAUUCUGAAGAUCAGCCCUGGGAUUUCUUUGGAAGGAAUGAUGCUAAAGCUGAAACUCCAGUACUUUGGCCACCUCAUGUGAAGAGUUGACUCAUUGGAAAAGAGUCUGAUGCUGGAAGGGAUUGGGGGCAAGAAGAGAAGGGGACGACAGAGGAUGAGAUGGCUGGAUGGCAUCGCUGACUCGAUGGACGACCCAGGACCUAAGGAAGUUCAUCUCCUACCAUAAUGAUGAUGAGCAUCGGAUAUCCUUAGCUGGAAUUACAUACUCACUUCAGGCUGUAGCUGAGAUCUGAGGCACACCUGAAGUAGCCAGCAGAAGUUAAGUGUCACUUUGUAUUCUUUGUUUUAAUUGAUCUCUUCCCUCCCAGAGAUGGGCGUUGUUUCCCUUUGUCUCUAUCUUUUGUGUUGUUUUCAUAAGGAGGAUAAACAUAGGGUAGAACACAGGCAUGGGUCUUACAAACUUGUUGUUUGAGGUGGUCUCACUGACUGGUGAGUUUAUGGUUCUUGCUGGAUUGGAGUCUGUUUGGGCAAGUUUUGCUGUGGUUCUCUAAUAAAAAUGCUGUGUGAGAUUCUCCAUUAACCUUGUUCAGUGUUGUGGCCUGAACAGGUAGCUAGCAAUCAGAUCAGGAACCCAUGACACAGAGGGUGCUCGCAGCACUUUAUGUGCCUGACUUUGCCUGACCUUGUUCUAGGGGAAUAUGCCAUAAAAAGGGGUCUCAACCUUUAAAGGGCAUUUGUUAUCUCUACCCUUAUUGUCUUUUUAGUGGUAGAAAGUCAUGUAUCAGUAUCGGCUGCCUAAUAUCACAUUAUCAGGUCUGUGACUGGAGGUGUAUACUUUUGUGGGUGACUAGUGUUACAAGUUUUCUUAAAAACUAUUCUUACCAUUUGUGAUGACAAAGGUCUUUGCUUAUUUUUGAUUGAGAUAUAGUUUAUUACAAUUUUAUAAU
ensembl:lncRNA